AUCAGGGGGAGUAAUGGCAUUGACAGUGGAUACAGCGGAUUUGGUAUUUGCCAUUGCAGCCAUCGGUUUGUUUUUGUUUUGUCUCAUCGACGGCAUAUUACCGGACCUUCUUGCGGAACGUCGUGAGCUAAUUCUCGAAGACAUGGAAAAUCGACGCCUCAAGAAAUCGCCAAACCUCAAAAACUGCUCAUGCGGCGGUGGAGUGGAUCGGUGUCCGGUCUAUCAUGAAGAUCUCAAGGC